rnacentral:rRNA from 1 species
UUUGACAUACAAGUAGUAGGAAGGAAACUGGACGACCUUCGGGAGCUUGUACAGGUGCUGCAUGGCUGUCGUCAGCUCGUGUCGUGAGAUGUUCGGUUAAGUCCGCUAACGAGCGCAACCCUCGUCGUGUGUUAUACGUGUCACACGAUACUGCCGGUAUCAAGCCGGAGGAAGUGGGGAUGAUGUCAAGUCAGCAUGGCCUUUAUAUCCUGGGCUACACACACGCUACAAUGGCAGAUACAAUAGGUUGCGAAACCGCGAGGUGGAGCCAAUCCUCAAAGUCUGUCUCAGUUCAGAUUGUAGGCUGCAACUCGCCUGCAUGAAGUUGGAGUUGCUAGUAAACGCAGGUCAGCUAUACUGCGUUGAAUACGUUCCCGGGGUUU